CGGACGGGUGAGUAACACGUGGAUAACCUACCUAUAAGACUGGGAUAACUUCGGGAAACCGGAGCUAAUACCGGAUAAUAUAUUGAACCGCAUGGUUCAAUAGUGAAAGACGGUUUUGCUGUCACUUACAGAUGGAUCCGCGCCGCAUUAGCUAGUUGGUAAGGUAACGGCUUACCAAGGCAACGAUGCGUAGCCGACCUGAGAGGGUGAUCGGCCACACUGGAACUGAGACACGGUCCAG
rnacentral:rRNA from 1 species